rnacentral:rRNA from 1 species
UACGUAGGGUGCAAGCGUUAAUCGGAAUUACUGGGCGUAAAGCGUGCGCAGGCGGUGAUGUAAGACAGUUGUGAAAUCCCCGGGCUCAACCUGGGAACUGCAUCUGUGACUGCAUCGCUGGAGUACGGCAGAGGGGGAUGGAAUUCCGCGUGUAGCAGUGAAAUGCGUAGAUAUGCGGAGGAACACCGAUGGCGAAGGCAAUCCCCUGGGCCUGUACUGACGCUGAGGCACGAAAGCGUGGGGAGCAAACAGG